UCAGGUUGAGUAGUUCGUGCUUCCUGUCGGUUUAAGAGAAAGUUGAGAAGCUGGAUUGAAUGAUAUCAGUUGAGGGGGCUGCAUCACGGUGCCGUGUCCAAAGACAAUGGAGGCCGCAUGAAACAUGUUGCCAUAGAUUUCCACUUCGUAAGGGACCAGGUUGAGAAGAAGCAAAUAAAGGUAAGGCGCAUUCAUUCUGCAGACCAGCUGGCCGAUGCAUUAACGAAGCAUCUGUCCAAGAAGCUGUUUGCUGAGAUUAUUUUCAGAUCUUGCGGAGAAGAAAGUAAAUGACAGUGCCUGAAAUGUACUGCCAAAAUCCCAAGAAUGCUGUCUAUACCAG